rnacentral:rRNA from 1 species
AGUGAACGCUGGCGGUAGGCCUAACACAUGCAAGUCGAACGGCAGCACAGUAAGAGCUUGCUCUUACGGGUGGCGAGUGGCGGACGGGUGAGGAAUACAUCGGAAUCUACUUUUUCGUGGGGGAUAACGUAGGGAAACUUACGCUAAUACCGCAUACGACCUACGGGUGAGAGCAGGGGAUCUUCGGACCUUGCGCGAUUGAAUUAGACGAUGUCGGAUUAGCUAGUUGGCGGGGUAAAGGCCCACCAAGGCGACGAUCCGUAGCUGGUCUGAGAGGAUGAUCAGCCACACUGGAACUGAGACACGGUCCAGACUCCUACGGGAGGCAGCAGUGGGGAAUAUUGGACAAUGGGCGCAAGCCUGAUCCAGCCAUACCGCGUGAGUGAAGAAGGCCUUCGGGUUGUAAAGCCCUUUUGUUGGGAAAGAAAAGCAGCAGGUUAAUACCCCGCUGUUCUGACGGUACCCAAAGAAUAAGCACCGGCUAACUUCGUG